AAGAAUUAUCUCUAUCUUUGCCUGAGCCAUCAGAACAUCUGAGAUGACAGCUGGAACAUAAGAUUAAAGUGCUCCAAGACCUUGGCAGUGUGCUAGGACCUUGAAGGGGAGCAGAGGGCUAGAGAUCAAGCCACCAGCUAACAUCCAGGGAUCUGGAGCAAUGAGAGCAGUUAUCUAGCUCAGCCAGUUUGUACCCUGCAAAGGCAGGUGGGGCCCAGUCACUGAACCCCUGCAGAACAACUGAGACCAGGGCAGUUCUGAGACAGAUUUCACACGCCUUUGGAAAUUUCUGUCCCUACCUGAAAUAGAGGAGGAUGCUCAUUCAAAAGACUGUCCUCUCCCCUCCCUCUGCCAGCCUCUGUCCUUGCUCUCAUUCUUGGAAGCUGUCUGGUUGGAGCAUAGAGAGAAACAUCUGGAUGAGUUGGCUCAGCCUGCGUUAGUUCCUUCUUGCUGUGGGUCAGCCUUCAGGCAGAGCAGGAGGCACUUCCUUGCUGCCCAAGCCUUGAAACAGGACACAGCUCUGUGAAAGGAGGAUUAGCAAGCUCUGGCUUUGUCACCUUAGGGGUGACAUAUUGGACUGUAGAUCUAAAGCCACACUCUCUAGUUGGCAGAGUAUUAAUAAAGCUGGCAUUGCUGAUUUCCAGCUGUUGGCUACUUGCGUCUUCUCUCUGUAUUUUGGACUCAGACAUUGGGAAUAGGUAUUGUACAUGAGCCCCCUAAAUCCCAAGCAGCUUCAGUCUUUGGAAGAAAGCAUUUCCCCUUCUUUAUCCACCCCAUUCUGAAAGCUAGCGCAGGCAUACACAAUCCGCAGAUCUUGGAUUCCUAAUACACCAAGGUAAAUUACAUGGGCUGUUGGAGGUGGGGGUUGUGUCUCCUGGCUUCUUCUCACUGAGAAACAUUAUGUCGCUGCUGAAGCUGCUGCAGGCUAUGGCCCAUCUCUGCUAAUAAAGGUAUGGGUUUCCCAUUACCCAGGCAGACUGGCUUCG